CCUACGGGAGGCAGCAGUGGGGAAUAUUGGACAAUGGGCGCAAGCCUGAUCCAGCCAUACCGCGUGUGUGAAGAAGGCCUUUUGGUUGUAAAGCACUUUAAGCGAGGAGGAGGCUCUUGAGGAUAAUACCCUUGAUGAGUGGACGUUACUCGCAGAAUAAGCACCGGCUAACUCUGUGCCAGCAGCCGCGGUAAUACAGAGGGUGCGAGCGUUAAUCGGAAUUACUGGGCGUAAAGCGCGCGUAGGCGGCUUGUUAAGUCGGAUGUGAAAUCCCCGGGCUCAACCUGGGCACUGCAUUCGAUACUGGCAAGCUAGAGUAUGGGAGAGGAAGGUAGAAUUCCAGGUGUAGCGGUGAAAUGCGUAGAGAUCUGGAGGAAUACCGAUGGCGAAGGCAGCCUUCUGGCCUAAUACUGACGCUGAGGUGCGAAAGCAUGGGGAGCAAACAGGAUUAGAUACCCUGGUAGUCCAUGCCGUAAACGAUGUCAACUAGCCGUUGGGGACCUUGAGUCUUUAGUGGCGCAGCUAACGCGAUAAGUUGACCGCUGGGGAGUACGGUCGCAAGCUAAAACUUAAGAGUAGUAGGACGGNGAGGAGAGCGACGACGACGACGACGGAGGGAGGAG
rnacentral:rRNA from 1 species